CGCAGACUUGGAAAGCUCAGAAGCCAGGCUUGCUGGUCCCUCUUCCACAAGGAGACAGACAGCUUCAGGCAAUGACAAUCAGCUGGAUGAGAAUGGAAACCUCUGCCUGCUUCACCCACUGCUCUGCCUGGUGUCCAGAGCUGGCCCAGCAGCAGGAGGACCUCAGUGACGUGCACUGGGCGAGUGAAUGCUGCAGACCACACACAAGCACGUUUCUGGGAGUGCUGAGUGUUGUUCACUCAUUUGCUGUUCAUGGAACCCUGCUGUGUGCCUGGUCCUGCCUCGGGCUGGAGGCACAAUGGCCGUGAAUGAGACAAACUCUGCUGCCGCCAUGGAGCUGACAUCUGACAUCGUGGAGGGGGACAGAGAGUGAGCAGAGCACAGCAGAACUCACAGUAGAGGCUCCUGCCAGCAGCCCCGCUCCCUCUGCCUCCUGACCACCCCAUGCUUCCCACGUGGCCUUGUGUGGUGUGGCAUGCCCCCUCCUCUGGGAACUGUGAGUAACCAAAUAUCUUGUCAAUGGCAUCGUUUCCUGAUCUGUUGGCCUCACUGAACCUCUAAUUUUCCAUUAAUACAUCCUAUUUUAAACCAGCCCUCGAACACUUUGCAGACACUUAGUGUAAACAAAUGAAGAACAAAUGAGCUACAUACCCUUUCACAGCAUCUUCAAGUUGAGCAGUUUAAUUUACAUUAGAGGUCCUUUUCUUGCUGGGGAGACAGGAACACAAG
rnacentral:lncRNA from 1 species